rnacentral:rRNA from 1 species
AUUGAACGCUGGCGGCAUGCUUUACACAUGCAAGUCGAACGGUAACAGGCCGCAAGGUGCUGACGAGUGGCGAACGGGGGAGUAAUGCAUCGGAACGUGCCCAGUCGUGGGGGAGAACUACUCGAAAGAGUAGCUAAUACCGCAUACGAUCUAUGGAUGAAAGCGGGGGGCCGUAAGGCCUCGCGCGAUUGGGGCGGCCGAUGUCAGAUUAGGUAGUUGGUGGGGUAAAGGCUCACCAAGCCAACGAUCUGUAGCUGGUCUGAGAGGACGACCAGCCACACUGGGACUGAGACACGGCCCAGACUCCUACGGGAGGCAGCAGUGGGGAAUUUUGGACAAUGGGGGCAAGCCUGAUCCAGCAAUGCCGCGUGCAGGAAGAAGGCCUUCGGGUUGUAAACUGCUUUUGUACGGAAAGAAACGGCUCUGGUUAAUACCCGGGGCUAAUGACGGUACCGUAAGAAUAAGCACCGGCUAACUACGUG